GGCUAUGGCGGGCGGUGCGUGGAGGCCUUGUGCCUGCCGGUUCAGCGAACACCGGGUUUCGAACCACGCAUCGUCCGCCACCUUU
rnacentral:antisense_RNA from 1 species